rnacentral:rRNA from 1 species
CACACGUCAUGGUGGGGACUCAUAGGAGGGGCCGGGGUCAACUGGGAGGAAGGUGGGGGGACGUCAAGUCUUCAUGCCCCUUAUUCCAGGGCUUCAAGCAUGCUACAAUGGCCGGUACAAAGGGCUGCGAAACCGUAAGGUGGAGCGAAUCCCA